GGGGAUGUGCGUGCGCCUGCGCGUGCGCCGCGUACGGCCGAGGAGCCCGAUCGGUGCUGCAGCCCGGCUCCGCUGAGCUCAGCACGUUGAACUGCUUCGCGCCUCCCCGCUCGCAGCCCAGGGCUGCAUCAGGGCGGAGUGGGGUGUGUCAGGUGAACAGUGCUCCCUCCCAUUCUUCAGUUGGGUCCACCAACCCCGCAGCCGGCGUGGGAUUCCUGCGCUGCCAUUGCCGUCCCACCGUUCAGGCUCAGCGCCUGGUUCCCAGCCUACACCAGGGCUUCACCGGCGCCUACCGGGAAACGGCCGCUCCGCUGCAAAAGAGGCCGCCGUGGUGUAGCCCGGGGUCUGCAGUGUUGUUUUGGCCCCCGGUUUCUGGGCUCUCCGCCUUCUCAGGUGGCAACGUGUUCCUCAAACCUUUGUCCCCCCAUCAGGAGCAGAUUCCCCCAGCUCCUAAGCAGCUGCAUGACCAAAAAAAAAAGUGUUGGCGAGACUUGUUUUAAUGGCCAGGAUUUUUGCAGGAGACGCUCCUGAUGAGAUUUGAAAAGAUCCACUAGGAACCACUAAGAAGGUGGAGUUUUGUAUCUAGACCUGACACGGAGACAACAGAACUGCUUGUUUGGGACCAGAAUCCAAACAAGCACCAGGAAGUGGAGUCUAAAAUCCUGGGCAGGUACUGGAGCUGCCCAUCCUCAUGAAGGGGAAUUUAAGCCAAGUUUCUUCAAACCUUUAAGGCACACCAUGUGUCAACCUAAAUAAAGUAAACUGAGGAAAACUCAAGUGACCAGAAAUUGAGUUGAUUUGGGAAUAGCAGAGGACUUGCAAUUCAGGAAACACAUGCUGUAGCAAGUUACAGGAGAAGGAAACUGCGUCUCAAAGAGAUUUAGUCACUUGCAAUUUUUGGCAAUUAUGUACCACUUCUCCUGGCACACAUGUAAGCAAGCCCUUGACAAGCCUCUGAAAGAAGCACACAUGGGCCAGACUCAGACUCAAGACUUGGGUUGUUUUUAGAAAUUAAAUUGCAUCAGGACACAGAAGAUGGAAUGAUCAGACAACUGGCUCCCCAACCAGAAGGGAGGCUAUGUUCUUCUGAUGGUGGGGGGCCUGAAAGGGCGCCUCCUUCCCCAUCAGCUGACUACACAUAAGAUAAAAUAUAUCUUCCUACGUUUGGAAGAACCAUGAGGUUUGGUGGGGUGCCUAGGAGCAAAAAUGAACCAGAGGGAAUACAGCCCAUUGGGUCAGACUGACUCAGUGAAAACUACACUGGGAAAGGCAAAGCACUUUUGUGAGGGCAGCUAGAACCUUUCUUGUUUGUUGAAUGGAGACUUAGACUCCAGGUCUGAUGUGUAUUACAGACACUGUCACUUCCACUAUGAGGCCCCUCCUCAAGCACUCUUUGAGUCUCCCUUGAAACAAAGGUAUUUGGGAAUAAAUGACCUUUAACGCAAUGAAAAUCUUCCUCCUACGAUCUCCGCUAAUCUUUUUAGGUGUUAAUAUUUAGCAUUACCUUCUACUAUCCACGGGCCAGGAAAUGCAGCUGGCUAGGCUUACCAGCAAAGCCUUUCUAAUACUUCCUUUACUUCUUUCCCCU